CACACCGCCCGUCACACCACGAAAGCCGGUUGCACCAGAAGUCGGUGUGUCAACCUCGAAAGAGGGGAUAGCCGCCCAAGGUAUGAUUGGUGAUUGGGGUG
rnacentral:rRNA from 1 species